AAAGUUGCUGAGGAGUGAAUAUCCUGUGGCACUAGUUUUGACCAGGACUUACCAACACCCCUACUGUGGAGAGACCAGGGUGGGCAAUUUUGCUCCGGUGAAUCUCCGAGGUCUCGAAAAUGAGUUACCAAAAAAUAUACAUUUUUACUCUAAACAAGACGCUGCUUCUCCAUUUUACUUUCAAUUUUCAUUCCACUGAAUUGAUCUAGUGUGGAAGGAAGGCUGCUCUGUUUGUGUUUCACCAGCAACUGCUCCAAGCACUUUGUGCUGACAGGAGUUAGCACUUUGAAUGUGUGGUGGAGAGCGUUCUGGGAUCCAGCAUUGUCAUGUGGCAUGGAAGC